AGAGUUUGAUCCUGGCUCAGGACGAACGUUGGCGGUGCGCUUAAUGCAUGCAAGUCGAGGGAGAAGCAGACGUUCCGUAAGGUUCGACUGUGGAAACCGACGAACGGGUGCGUAACACGUGAGAAACCUGCCCCCCAGAUCGGGAUAGCCCAGGGAAACUUGGAUUAAUACCGGAUACUCUCUUUGGAUCGCAUGAUCCAUUGAGGAAAAGUCCGCUGCUGGGGGAUGGUCUCGCGGCCUAUCAGCUUGUUGGUGAGGUAACGGCUCACCAAGGCUAAGACGGGUAGCUGGUCUGAGAGGACGAUCAGCCACACUGGAACUGAGAUACGGUCCAGACUCCUACGGGAGGCAGCAGUGGGGAAUAUUGCACAAUGGGCGAAAGCCUGAUGCAGCGACGCCGCGUGCGGGAAGAAGGCCCUAGGGUUGUAAACCGCUUUCAGUAGGGAAGAAAAUGACGGUACCUACAGAAGAAGGUGCGGCCAACUACGUGCCAGCAGCCGCGGUGACACGUAGGCACCAAGCGUUAUCCGGAUUUAUUGGGCGUAAGGAGCUCGUAGGCGGUUCGAUAAGUCGGGUGUGAAAACUCUGGGCUCAACCCAGAGAGGCCACCCGAUACUGUUGUGACUAGAGUACGGUAGGGGAGCGGGGAAUUCCUGGUGUAGCGGUGAAAUGCGCAGAUAUCAGGAGGAACACCAGCGG
rnacentral:rRNA from 1 species